rnacentral:rRNA from 1 species
UGCGUAGGCGGGGCAAUUAGUCAGUGGGGAAAUCCUGCGGCUUAACCGUAGAACUGCCAUUGAUACUGUUGCCCUUGAGUAUAGUUGAGGUGGGCGGAAUGUGUAAUGUAGCGGUGAAAUGCAUAGAGAUUACACAGAACACCAAUUGCGAAGGCAGCUCACUAAGCUAUAACUGACGCUGAGGCACGAAAGCGUGGGGAGCAAACAGGAUUAGAUACCCUGGUAGUCC